CCCCAAGCCUCCAAUUUGUGCUUCUGCGUCACUGGGGGGGCUCCCAGCAUGGCCUCAGCCCCGGUAGGGAAGUGUCCACAGGCAGCCUCUGCUGCAGGCAACAGCUGGCCGCAGGACUCCUCCUCCAUCCCAGCCUUUCUGGAAGCUUCUUCUCCUGCCCUUUGUGAGAGGCCUUCAGGCCAGAUCAUCGGCCAUCUUGGGGGAUGAAGCCAUGCUGGGGGCGAUUCUUAGGCUUCCACUUCCUCCAAAAUGACCACAGGUAACUGCAUUUUAGUCUGUUUAAGGACCCCCACCCCCACCCUCACCCCUGCCCCUUGUGUGUGGCUGGUCUGUUUUCCCGCCUGUUUUGGACAACAAUCACUCGGGCAUCUAAGCCCAUGGUGGAAUGGUGGGGAGGGGGCCACUCUGGGGGCCGUGGGGGGUCUCAGAGAGCACCCUGCCCAUCCCCCUGGCAGCCGCUGUCUCCGUGGACAAUGAGCACCGGGAAGUAGAGGGCGUCCUCAUAGCAGGGCGGGCUCUCCAGGGGUUCCGUGUCCUCUCCACGGCGCCCCAGCGGCCCCCCGCUCAGGCUGCGGAAGACCCCUGGCGUGGCCCGGCCGCCAGCGCCCAGCGAGAGGCGGCUGCGGCUGAAGGGCAGGCGGGGCCCGCUGGGCCGGGCGGGGGGCAGCGAGUUGCUGCUGACAGAGCGGCGGCAGCGCUGGCAGCCUCUGAGGUAGGCGCCCGAGCCCGCGCCCAUGACCACGGCCUCCGAGUAGCUGGGCACCAGCUGCCGGUUGGAGCAGAUGUGCCACUCGAGCUCAGUGAAGUCCACUGUGGCCACGCGGGACAGCGGGGGCCCGCUGGGCACGGCCCCCGGCGGGGGCGAGCUGGCGCCAAAGAGCUUCUCCACCUGGUAGUGCACGUGAGCCGUGCCAUAGGCGGCCACGACGCGCAGGGGCCACGACAGCGUGGCCGCCGACACGAGCCAGAAGACCCAGGCGCGCGCGUACCAGGGCGGGCUGCGGGGGUCGGCGAAGACCAUGAGCGACUCGCGGAAGUCUACGUCCUUCAGGUGCAUGCCCUCGCGCGCCUCCAGAUAGUCGUCCAGGCCCUCGUUGGCGCUGAAGAAGCGCGCCCGCUGCGUGAGGUACGAGGCCUCGGCCUCCGCGCUGCCGAAGCUGAAGCACUUGGUGAAGCGCAGCCGCGUGGCCGCGUGCUCCGCCAGCCCCACCAGCUCCUUGGAGACGUCGCGGACGCCGUGCGCCGAGUAGUCAAACUCGCCGCGGGCCGUGCGGCUGUCAGCGCGCUCAUGGUACACCUGCGUGGUGGUGUAGGCGUCGCCGUUGCGGUAGCGCGUGAUCUGGCGUGUGCGCCGCACGUAGUGAUAGCUGGUGGCCUUCCACCAGACGCACGGCGGCGCCUGCUGCAGCCGGCGGAUCAGCGCCAGCACCGUGUGGGCGUCGGUGCGUGGCGCCUGGCAGGACCGCACGUGACAGUGCCAGCACUCAGCCAGGUAGAGGAGGUAGAGGAGGGAGACGAAGGCCAGCGGGAUGUACAGGUAGCCAUCGGAGCAGGGGCUGGCCGGGUAGGUCGGUGGCGGG
rnacentral:lncRNA from 1 species